CCUGCUAGAAAUGCCCGCGGAAACCAUGCCCCACCCCAACCCCAACUCCACCCCAGUCUGUUUUGUGUUUGGUCGCCCAGUCUUGGCCUCUCCCGCAACCCUGCUCCCGGGGCUACCCCGUGUCUUCACUGCAAACAUGGGUGGAAUUUUCCUUCCAGCCUAGCCCUGUGCCAAGCUCUUCCUCUGCCCCCUGUGGCCCUCAUGACAAGCCUCCACCAUCCAUGGGCACCUGGAGAGAUAAAGCAACUCAGCAGAAGCUGUAGCUGGGGCAGGAACUCAGACUGUCCCUUUGAUGAGACGAAACAGCUGCCCAUUGGUGAAACAAAGGACCAUCACUUGGGAACCGGGCAAGCUCCACCACUCCGACAGCAUCAGCUGUGGCGCCGCCCACACCCCAGAGGUUGAGAAUUUGAAGCCAGUUCGGCUCGUUCUCCAUCAUAGGCAUUUUCUGCAUGCCCGUUCUGUGACAUCUGCUUCCAGACAGACGCUGGUUUUCUGGCCGUCUCCCCACAAGGUCACCAGGCCCCUGCUCUCAGCCUUGACAAUGGAGUCUUACCACACGAGAGAGCAAAACCCAAACUUCUGCCCCAGGUGACUCAGGCCUAGCCUCCCUCUCAUCUCUGUUGCUCACCUGACUGCACGAUUCUGGCCUCCAUCUGUCACCCCUUCCAGGAGCACUUUUAGUUUUAGCUUGCUCACUGAUUUAUGCUCUGACUACCCCGCCUUUCUCAACCAGGAAGCUCACACAGGUAAUGCUGAGGCCUGCAAUGCCAGCAUCUCGUAUGGGCUCCAGUUCAAGACCCGGCUGCUCCACUUCUGAUCCAGCUCCCUGCUAAUGUGCCUGGGAAAGCAACAGAGGAUGGCCCAAGUCCUUGGGCUCCUGCACCCAUGUCGGAGACCCAGAAGAAGCUCCUGCCUCCUGGCUUCAGCCUGGCCCAGCCCUGGCUGAGUGAACCAGUGAAUAAAAGGUAUCUUUCUCUCUCUGUCUCUUCUUUUCUCUGUGUAACUUUUUCUUAUAUAUACAUACAUAUACAUAUACAUGUAUAUGUAUAUUUAUAUAUAUGCACACACAUAUAUAUAUAUAUAUUGGGGCCUGCGCUGUGGUGUAGUGGGUAAAGCUACCACCUGCAGUGCUAGCAUCCCAUAUGGGCGCCGGUUCAAGUCCCAGCUGCUCCAUUCCCUAUCCAGCUCUCUGCUGUGGCCUGGAAAAGUAGUAGAAGAUGGCCCAAGUCCUUGGGCCCCUGCACCUGUGUGGGAGACUGGGAAGAAGCUCCUGGCUCCUGGCUUCGGAUCAGCCCAGUUCUGGCCAUUGCAGCCUUCUGGGGAGUGAACCAGCAGAUGGAAGACCUCUCUCUCUCUCUCUCUCUCUCUCUCUCUCUCUCUCACUCUGCCUUUCAAAUAAAUAAAUAAAUCUUAAAAAUAAAUAAAUUCAUUAUGUGUGUGUGUAUAUAUAUAUAUUUGUUUGAAAGGCAGUUGCAGAGAGAGGCAGAGAUAUCUUCCAUCUCUUGGUUCAUUUCCCAAAUGCCCACAACAGCCGCGGCUGGGCCAGGCCAAAACCAGGAGCCAGAAACUCAAUCUGGGUCUCUCACAUGGGUGGCAGGGUCCCAAGAACUUGGGUCAUCACCUUCUCCCCUGCCUCUGCCCCUGCCAAGAUGUACAUUAACAGGAAGUUGGAAUUAGAAAUAGGGUCAGGACUCAACCCAGGCACUCUGAUAUGGGAUGCAGGCAUCCCGAGUAGCUUUUUUAACCACUGUUCUGAAUGCCCGCCCCAGGGAACAGCUUUUGAAAACAGAGAGAGUGCCUCCCCCCAGAGCGGAGGGCAGUCUUGCUGCACAGAAAAGGAAAGGCAUGUCACUGCCCACUGUAAAAGAUUUGGGUCCCGGGGCCCAGAGCUCCUCUCCUGCAAUGUAAGCUACCGUGAGUGCAUCUGCCCUCUGGUCCUCUUCAGCUGAGGAGCCAACACCAGAAAAUGCCGAUACUCUGCUACCACUAUCGCUGGAAAUAAUGCAAUCCUUUCCCUCUGACCCAGGGAUCUCAUGUCUUCUGCCAGCAUCUGUGACACUGGUAGAAUAACUAACUUGCUUGCAGGGAAGGUAAAAUCCCAAACCUUCCCGAGUCCUUGAUAACAGCCACCAAGGUUACUGCAGGUGAGGCAGCUCCACUUCACUCAUGCACCCAGCAUCUGGUGACAGCAGGUACAGCAACCUUGAAGUCUAUGCUAUUUCUGGGGCAUAAAAUUACCAAGGACUUUAUUGAGAAGCUGUCACAACACCAUAUAAAGCACGAAAGAGAGCCUCAUUAGCGUUGCAAUGUUUAUAAGCUUUGCAGUACAAAGAUGUGGCCAAUUUUGCAUCUUCUACCUAAAAACAGAAGACGGGUGCAGUUUCUCAAGGCCUUUGCACUAUCUUUUUUGGCGCAUCUGCAUUGGUCUACUGGAGGACCACGCUCUGCAGUGCUGGGUGGCACCUGGGGGCUUCCCUUCCAUAAUCCUUACAGACCAACCUGGGCCGAGAGGGGUUUCUGCUCUCCCACCCCAUACUUGCAUAUUGAUAUUUUUAAAAAUUAGCUGCAUGACUUUCUAAUAAAAGGAUUCUUUAGGGCUGGCAUUGUGGCCUAGGGGGCUAAGCCUUCACUUGUGACAUCAGUGUCCCAUAUCAGAAUGCCAAUUCAAAUCCCUGCUGCUCUGCUUCAGAUCCAGCUCCCUGCUAAUGUGCCUGGGAAAGUAUCAGAAGAUGGCUCAAGGUGGCCCCUACCACCCACCUGGCACAGUCAGAUGGAGUUCCAGGCUCCUGGCUUCAGCCUGGCCCAGUUCUGGCCUUUAGGGCCACUUGGGAAAAUGAACCAGUAGAUGAAAAAACUCUUUCUCUCCAUGUGUCUUCCUUUCUCUCUGCCUUUCAAGUAAAUCUUUAAAAAAAGUUCUUGAGUACCAAAAAUAAAAUAUAAUUCCCUAUAAUGGCAAAAAUAUGUUCCAGUGUCAAAAAAGAACAUUUCAAAGCCUGAGAAAAAUUUCAGCUAUGAGUUCGUUCUCCUCCUCCCUGUUUUAUAAAUCAGUUUCUUUAUUUUGGGAUGGAAGGAAUCAAUCAUUAGGAAAAAGAAUAGAGAAAUCCUUUAAAAAUUAAUUCACGCAUCAAAAAUAUGUAUUGAUUUCCUACCAGUACUGAGUUCAGUGGAGAACAGAAACAUGGAAUGGCAUUUGCCCCACCCUUGAGGAAUUUACUGUCUCAUUAGGGAGGUGACUGGAGCAUGGGUCAUCCGAACUGAAGGGAAGGGGACGCCGAUCCGGAGAUCUGCGCUUACUGUAAAGAGAGAGGGCUGCUCAGCCACUCUGAGUCAACCAGGCUGCUCCACACACUCAUUACCUAACGUGCAACUACAAAUCAGAAGUAGGCCAAGGGUCAUGUGCGUGCGCUUGCGCAAUACUCGGAGAGAGGCUGCAAAGAGCGCCUCAGCAUUCCUGUUCUCCACGCCCUCAGUGGUCCCUGCGGAGGUGUUUUUCCUGGGGACUCUCGGAGGACGUCCAGGAGGGCCGACAUCCAGGAAGUGCGUCCUCUAACCCCGGAGCUCACCGAGAAGACCCGGGAGUCUCCUGUCUCUGGCCCCGCCCCUUCCUUGGCACUCACACAAGAAUUUCGUGACAUCUCUCCGCACCGCCUAAAUGCUAAUUACAGAUGUGGGUCUACACACAUGACCGCCUCCGCGGAUGGAAAUACCUUGAGGUGGUCAGGGCGAGGACACAGUUGCACAAUCCUUGCCUCUGCCACAAUUCCCACCAAAAAGAAGAAGAAAGAAAAAAAAAAUGAGACACUUUGCCACCAAAGCCAAUGGGCCCAGCUCAUAAAAUUACCCACCCCGACACAGGGCACUCAAACAGCCUGUCAUCACGGGACUUGUUCAUCAUUCUUCCAACAUGGGCUGGUUAGAAUGGAGCAACCCACGGACUUGUUGACAAUGGUUUGUGCAAGCUUUGGACUAGGGAAUAAACAGCUCGAAACUAUGUGUAGGGCUAACCACUUCUCUAGUUGGAGAGAUUAGUCUGGGGGAUGUGGUGCUCUGAGAGUUAGUUAACUAGCAUUACUGGUUUCCCAGUGAUGCGCAGUCAGCCGGGCCUUUGGCCAGAAAGAGUAGGUAGCUCAGGAAAUACGAGGGCACUUCAGAAAGUUUCUGGGGAAAUAGAAUGAAAAGAUAUGUUUAUUUGGGUGUGCGAAUUGAAAACCCAGGGCCGGCCCUGUGGCAUAGUGCGUUAAGUCACUGCCUGCAGCGCCAGCAUCCCAUAUGGACAGUGGUUGGAUUCCCGGCUGUUCCACUUCUGAUCCAGCUCCCUGCUUAUGUGCCUGGGAAGGUGGAGGAGGAUGGUCCAAGUGCUUGGGCCCCUGCUACCCAAGUGGGAGACCUGAAUGAAGCAGCUGUCUCCUGGCUUCAGCUUGUUCCAGCUGUGGUGUGGCCACUUGGGGAGUGAACCAGUGGAUGGAAGAUCUCUCUCUCCCUCUCUCUUUAACUCUUUCAAAUAAAUAAAUAAAUCUUAAAAAAAAAAAAGGAAAGAAGAGGGCACAUAAAAUAUAUACUCUGGGGGCUGGCACUGUGGUGUAGCGGGUAAAGCUGCAGCCUGCAGUGCCGGCAUCCCAUAUGGGCUCUUGUUCAAGUUUCGGAUGCUCCACUUCCAAUCCAGCUCUGUGCUAUGGCCUGGGAAAGCAAUAAAUGGCCCAAGUCCUUGGGCCCCUGCACCCAUGUGGGAGACCCAGAAGAAGCUCCUGGCUCCUGACUUCAGAUCGGCACAGCUUCGGCCUUUGCAGCCAUUUGGGGAGUGAAGCAGCGGAUGGAAGACCUUUCUCUCUCUCUCUGCCUCUGUCUCUCUGUAACUUUGCCUUUCAAACAAUUAAAUAAAUCUAAAAAAAAAAAAAAAAAGAUGCACUCUGGAGAUGAAGUCUAUGUGGCUCUCUAAGGAUUGGAUGUGGGAGGUGAGAGCAAAGGGAGAACCAAACACUGUGUCUUGCUCGAGCACCUGGUGGAUGCCUUUUAUUGAAACUGAACCAUGAACUUGGUGCCCAUGUUUUCUCCCCCACAUUUACAUCUUGGAUCCCCAGUGUGAUCCGAUUGGGGGUGGGGCUUUGGUGCGGUGAUAAGGUUCUGAGCCUGCAACCCUCAUGGAUGGAACUGGAGCACUUGUGAAACAGUCCGCUGCUGUCCUGUUUCGGAUGUAGGAGGAUGCAGGGAGGGAGCUGGGACUCCCAGUCUCCAGCACUGAGCAGCGCAAUGCUGUUGCCUGUAAGCCGCUUUGUCUCGCACCCAGAACCAACAGAAGGGAAAAACAAAACAAAACAAAACAACAACAACAAAACCAGGCAGAUAGAGGGAGGAGAGGUGUGUGCUCAGAACGGAGUGAGGAAAAAUGCAAAUUGAAGUUUGGGGUGUUUAUAGGACACAAUACUGCUAGAGUCAAGCCCCAGAACCGCUCAGAAACAGAAGCGCCCACCCAGGCCAGACACCGCAUCUCCAGCCACAAGAUUGUAGGGGGCCCCUCUCGUGCACAGCACUGGCUUGUGAUGGGCUGCGCCCCCUGAAUCCCAGGAGCCCCCUGGAGGCGCACUGUCGCCUCCCUCUCUAACGCAGUACAGCCUCUUCCGCAGGACACAGAAUGGGCCCUUGCAGGCUUGCUACGCCGGGGAGCUUUUCAGACGCUCUUUAUACCUCCACAUGGUUCUCUUUGCAAACGCAAAGUAUGAAAACCCAAACCGUGGGGCCAGUGUUGUGGCGCAGGGGGUCAAGCUGCCACCUGCGACACCAGCAUCCAGUAUUUGAUUUUGAGUUCGAGUCCUAGCUGCUCUGUUCCCAAUCCAGCUCCCUGCUAGCGCACCUGGAAGGCAGCAGAAGGUAGGCCCAAGUGCUUGGUCCCUGCCACCCACGUGGGAGACCAGGAUGGAGGUGCAGGCUCCUGGCUUUGACCUGGCCCAGCACUGGCAGUUACGGCUAUUUGGGGAAUAAACCAGUAGUUGGAAGAUCUCUCUUUCUCUCUGUGCCUCCUUUCUCUGUGUCACUCUACUGCUUAGAUAAACAAAAAAUCUUAAGAAAAAUUUCAAAACAUAUAAAAUUGUCAAUCUCCCCCUCAAAACAGAAAGUGAGGGGGCCGACACUGUGGCAUAGUUGACUAAGCCUCCACCUACAGCACCAGCAUCCCAUAUGGGCAGUUCUAGUUCUGGCUGCUCCUCUUCCGAUCCAGCUCUCUACUAUGGCCUGGGAAAGCAGUAGAAGAUGGCCCAAGUCCUUGGGCCCCUGCACCCACGUCAGAGACCCAGAAGAAGCUCCUGGCUUCAGAUUGGCUCAGCUCUGGCUGUUGCAGGCAUUUGGGGAGUGAACCAGCAGAUAGAAAACCUUUCUCUCUGUCUCUCCCUCUUUCUGUCUGUAACUCUAACUCUCAAAUAAAUAAAUAAAAUCUUUCUUUUUUUUAAAAGGUCUUCCUUCCGUUGGUUCACCCCCCAAAUGGCUGCUAUGGCAGGCGCUGCGCCGAUCCGAAGCCAGGAGCCAGGUGCUUCCUC